UCACUAAUCAUCUACCAUGAGCACAUGAUAUUCUAACUUCCCCCUGGGGGCAGACUGUCACUUCUCUAGUUCACACCACCUCAGGUGACUUCCACUCCUGCAGGUGUUGUGUCUCUAGAACCUCUAACUUACCUGGAGACCAUAUCAGCCUGUGUCCUGGAGCCCGUGCCGAGCGGAGCACCGCUGUCAGUCCAGGAGGGACGUGAGGCGCGGAACAGGAGUCGGGACAGCAGGCGAAGGUGCCUUCACGACCCCGCUGAGCUCGCCUCCUGCACAGGUUCAGCUGCCGCCCUGUGAUCCUGCGUUCCCGGGCUCAGAGCCGGAGCCCACGUUUCCUCCAACUUCCUCUUCUGCCGAGGUUGGGGCUUCUUUCUUAAUUUGCAUCUGGUACAUCUCUUUAACAGUUCUAAUGUGUUUAUUCCUAUUUCCAAUCAAUCUUUUUCCCCCAGUUACUUUAUUGAGGUCAUAAUGGUUUAUAACAUUGUGUAAUUUUAGGUGUACAUUAUUAUUUACCAGUUUCUGUAUAGACUGCAUCGUGCUCACCACUAAUGGUCUAAUCUUUAUCCAACACCAUAUAUAUGUGCCCCUUUACCCCUUUCGCCCACCCCCCUAACACACUGGUUACCACUAAUCUGUUGUCUUUACCCAUGUGUUUAUCUUCCACGUAUGAGUGAAAUCGUAUAGUGUUCUUCUCUGUCUGGCUUAUUUCGUUUAACAUAAUACCCUCAAGCUCCAUACAUGGUGUUGCAAAUGGGACAAUUCUGUGUUUUUUUAUGAGUGAGUAGUAUUCCAUUGUAUAUAUAGACCACAUCUUCUUUAUCCAUUCUACAGUUCGUGGACACUUGGGUUGCUUCCAUGUCUUGGCUAUUGUGAGUAAUGCUGCAGUGAACAUAGGGCUGCACAGGUCUCUUUGCAUUGUUGAUUUCAAGUUCUUUGGAUAAAUACCCAGUAGUGUGAUGGCUGGGUCAUAUGGUAUUUCUAUCUUUAAUUUUUUACAAAAUCCCCAUACUGUUUCCCAGAGUGGCUGCACCAGUUUGCAUUCCCACCAGCAGUGUGUGAGGGUUCCCUUUUCUCCACAUCCUCUCCAACAUUUGUUAUUUUUUGUCUUGGUAAUUAUAGCUAUUCUGACAGGUGCAAGGUGACAUCUCAUUGUAGUUUUGAUUUGCAUUUCCCUAAUAAUUAGUGAUGUUGAACAUCUUUUCAUAUGUCUGUUGGCCAUUUGUAUAUAUUCUUUGGAAAUAUGUCUAUUCAUAUCCUCUACCCAUUUUUUGAUUGGGUUGUCUGGCUUUUGUUGUUGAGUUGUGUGAGGUCUUUAUAUAUUUUGGAAAUUUACCCCGUGUCAGAUAUAUGAUUUGAACAUAUUUUCUCCCAGUUGGUGGGUUGUCUUUUCAUUUUUUUCAUGGCUUCCUUUGCCUUACAGAAGCUUUUUAGUCUGAUGUAGUCCCAUUUAUUUUUUUCUUUUCUUUUGUUUCCCUUGGCUGAGUAGACAUGGUAUUCAAAAACAUGCUGCUAAGACCUAUAUCAAACAGUGUACUGCCUAUUUUCUUCUAGGAGUUUUAUGGUUUCAGGUCUUACAUUCAAGUCUUUAAUCCAUUUUGACUUAAUUUUUGUGUAUGGUACAAGAUAAUGGUCUGCUUUCAUUCUUUUGCAUAUGGCUGUCCAGUUUUCCAGACACUGUUUAUUGAAGAGACCUUCCUUUCUCCAUUGUAUGUUCUCAGCUCCCUUGUAGAAGAUCAACUGUCCAUAGAUGUGUGGUUUUAUUUCUGGGCUUUCAGUUCUGAUCCAUUGAUCUGUUUGUCUGUUUUUUGUGCCCCUACCAUGCUGGGUUGAUUACUGUAGCUUUGUAGUAUGUUUUGAAGUCAGGGAUUGUGAUGUCUCCAACUUUGUUCUUUUUUCUCAGGAUUGCUUUGGCUAUUCGGGGUCUUUUGUUGCCCCAUGCGAAUUUUAGGAUUCUUUGUUCUGUUUCCAUGAAGAAUGUCAUUGGGAUUCUGAUUGGGAUCGCAUUGAAUCUGUAGAUUGCUUAGGUAAUAUGGACGUUUUAACUAAGUUUAUUCUUCC
ensembl:lncRNA